rnacentral:rRNA from 1 species
CACGUGGGUAACCUGCCUGUAAGACUGGGAUAACUCCGGGAAACCGGGGCUAAUACCGGAUGCUUGUUUGAACCGCAUGGUUCAAACAUAAAAGGUGGCUUCGGCUACCACUUACAGAUGGACCCGCGGCGCAUUAGCUAGUUGGUGAGGUAAUGGCUCACCAAGGCGACGAUGCGUAGCCGACCUGAGAGGGUGAUCGGCCACACUGGGACUGAGACACGGCCCAGACUCCUACGGGAGGCAGCAGUAGGGAAUCUUCCGCAAUGGACGAAAGUCUGACGGAGCAACGCCGCGUGAGUGAUGAAGGUUUUCGGAUCGUAAAGCUCUGUUGUUAGGGAAGAACAAGUACCGUUCGAAUAGGGCGGUACCUUGACGGUACCUAACCAGAAAGCCACGGCUAACUACGUGCCAGCAGCCGCGGUAAUACGUAGGUGGCAAGCGUUGUCCGGAAUUAUUGGGCGUAAAGGGCUCGCAGGCGGUUUCUUAAGUCUGAUGUGAAAGCCCCCCGGCUCAACCGGGGAGGGUCAUUGGAAACUGGGGAACUUGAGUGCAGAAGAGGAGAGUGGAAUUCCACGUGUAGCGGUGAAAUGCGUAGAGAUGUGGAGGAACACCAGUGGCGAAGGCGACUCUCUGGUCUGUAACUGACGCUGAGGAGCGAAAGCGUGGGGAGCGAACAGGAUUAGAUACCCUGGUAGUCCACGCCGUAAACGAUGAGUGCUAAGUGUUAGGGGGUUUCCGCCCCUUAGUGCUGCAGCUAACGCAUUAAGCACUCCGCCUGGGGAGUACGGUCGCAAGACUGAAACUCAAAGGAAUUGACGGGGGCCCGCACAAGCGGUGGAGCAUGUGGUUUAAUUCGAAGCAACGCGAAGAACCUUACCAGGUCUUGACAUCCUCUGACAAUCCUAGAGAUAGGACGUCCCCUUCGGGGGCAGAGUGACAGGUGGUGCAUGGUUGUCGUCAGCUCGUGUCGUGAGAUGUUGGGUUAAGUCCCGCAACGAGCGCAACCCUUGAUCUUAGUUGCCAGCAUUCAGUUGGGCACUCUAAGGUGACUGCCGGUGACAAACCGGAGGAAGGUGGGGAUGACGUCAAAUCAUCAUGCCCCUUAUGACCUGGGCUACACACGUGCUACAAUGGACAGAACAAAGGGCAGCGAAACCGCGAGGUUAAGCCAAUCCCACAAAUCUGUUCUCAGUUCGGAUCGCAGUCUGCAACUCGACUGCG